rnacentral:lncRNA from 1 species
UACUAGUGACAGUUCCACAACCAAGGAGAAUAGGAAGAAAUUAAAAAUGAAGUUUCCACCUAAAAUCCCAAACAGAAAAACAAAAAGUAAAACUAAUAAAGGAGGAAUAACUCAACCUAACAUAAAUGAUAGCCUGGAAAUUACAAAAUUGGACUCUUCCAUCAUUUCAGAAGGGAAAAUAUCCACAAUCACACCUCAGAUUCAGGCUUUUAAUCUACAAAAAGCAGCAGCAGAAGGCUUGAUGAGCCUUUUUCGUGAAAGGGGGAAAGGUUAUUUAGCUUUGUGUUCAUACCACUGCAAAGAAGCUAUAAAUAUUUUGAGCCAUCUACCUUCUCACCACUACAAUACUGGUUGGGUACUAUGCCAAAUUGGAAGGGUCUAUUUUGAACUUUCAGAGUACAUGCAAGCUGAAAGAAUAUUCUCAGAGGUUAGAAGGAUUGAGAAUUAUAGAGUCGAAGGCAUGGAAAUCUACUCUACAACACUUUGGCAUCUUCAAAAAGAUGUUGCUCUUUCAGUUCUGUCAAAAGACUUAACAGACAUGGAUAAAAAUUUCCCAGAGGCCUGGUGUGCUGCAGGGAACGUUUCAGUCUGCAACAGGAACACGAUAUUGCAAUUAAAUUCUUCCAGAGAGCUAUCCAAGUGGAUCCAAAUUAUGCUUAUGCCUAUACUCUAUUAGGGCGAGAGUUUGUCUUAACUGAGAAUUGGACAAAGCAUU